GCUCGCUCUCUCCUGCUCCACCAUGAUAAGAUGUGCUUGCUUCCCCUUCACUUUCCGACUUGAUCGUAAGUUUCCCAGCCAGGCUUCCUGUACAGCUUGUGGAACUGUGAGUCAAUUAAAACUCUUUUCUUUGUGAAUUACCCAGUCUCAGGUAGUUCCUUAUAGCAGUGUGAGAAGGAACUAAUGCACUGAGUUUCUGUGAAGACUCACUGAAGCAAUGUGUAUAAAGCAGUUAGUGCUGCCAUGGAAUACUCACUAAGUAUCAUCAAUUAUGACUGUUUUUAUAAUUAAUAGUGCCAAUAAUAUUUUUAAAAUUGCUAUACAUGUGGAAGAAAAAUUCUUUCAAGUCAAUUUUUGAAUGACUGUUUGUUAGGUACACCAACAACCUGAGAGAUUCCUGGGCCUCCGAAACAUUUGAAUGCAAUGAUUCUAACAACGUGUUCCAUGAACUUACAGCAUCAGCAUCACUUGGGAACACGUUAGAAAGGGAAAUUCUUGAUUCAUACUCCAGUUGUAUUGAAUCAGAAAUCCUGAUGGUGGAACCCAGGAAACUGUGUCUCUAACAAAUUCUCCAGGUGAUUCUGAUGUGAACUAGAGUUUGAGAACCACUGCUCUAAGGUAUACGUUGGGAAUAAUUCCUCUAAGCAGGAACUUGGUCUCAUCUGUGUAAUCACUCCAAACACCUGGUUGAGUGCCUUGUAUGGGGUAGUUACUUAGUAAAGUGAUUGAAUGGGAUGAAAAACUAAUUCAUGAGCAGGACCUGAUCCUACAUUAUUGACAAUUGUUCCCACAGCUUGGCAUUGACUGAUGUUGACAGACACAACUAAGUUACACCCACAGGUCCUAAUCUCUCUCUAUCUGCCUGUACCAGGUGUAAGGCAGCAUGCCUGUGGGCUAAAGAGGCCACUUGUGCUUACAAGUUGAGACCUGCCAGCACAGUUCAAGUGAUCCUACACCUUAGUUAGGGCCAAACAGAGGGAGAGGUUUCAUUACAAAUAAUUAAACUCAAAUGAAACAAACCCAGGAGUUCAACACAACUGCAGCUAUGGCAGUCAUCAGAUCAUUCCUCUAUUGUUUUUAUUGGAGGGAUUUUGGCACUAAUAGACAAGAGUUUGGGGGAUGUUUGUAUGUAUGUUUGAUUUAAUGGUGUAAAUGUCAUUUUCUGAGUAUUCAAAAUUUCAGUAUUGAAAAUUGAGUCACCUUGAAAAUCACACUGUAGAAAUAUGGGACCAAGAAGAAAAUAUAUUCAUUUGAACUUCAAGCCAUCUUCUACUAUAUUUGCAUAAAUCUAGAAAAGGGAUUCAUAUAAUGAAUCAUAGUAAGAUUUGUUAAAACCCUAGCAGCAUCUGGAUCAACAUGACUAGUGAUAGGUUUUUAAAUUGCAAAUACAGAAAGUAAAUAUGAAGGAAUCAGCGUAUUUGGGAGAUAGUUUUGAAAAGCAUAUUUAAAGAAGUAUUUCUGGCUGGGUACAGUGGCUCAUGCCUGUAAUCCCAGCACUUUGGGAGGCUGAGGCGGGUGGAUCACCUGAGGUCAGGAGUUCGAGACCAGCCUGGCCAACAUGGUGAAACCCCAUCUCUACUAAAAAUACAACAAUUAGCUGGGCAUCAUGGCACAUGCCUAUAAUACUAGCUACUUGGGAGACUGAGGCAAGAGAAUUGCUUGAACCCGGGAGGUGGAGGUUGCAGUAAGCUGAGAUGAUGCCACUGAACUCCAGCCUGGGCAACAGAGCAAGACUCUGUCUCAAAAAAAAAAAAAAAAAAGAAGUAUUUCCUACAUAAAAAUACAUAAUAUAUGUGUAAGUUAUGAAACAUAACUAUAAACUGAACACCCAAUAGGCCACCAUUAUCCUUAGGUAAUGGGAGAUUAUAAACACCAUUGAGACUUCUUAUAGGUCACUUGUUCAUUGCAAACCCCUGGCUGCUACCUGCCCUUCACUGAGGUAACCACUAUCCUGAAUGGUGCUUAACAAUAAAUUUGAUACAUAUAUAUUUAUCUAUAAUUUAUUUAUUUUAGAGUUUGCUUGCUUUUCAACUUUAUUUAAAUGAUAUCAUAUUCUAUGUAUUCCUUAAUUUUUUUCAUUCAGUGUUAUCCACAUGGUUGUAAAUAUUCUGCUGAAUUCUAGUCUAUUUUGUAAUUAUAUUACAGUUUACCCAUUCUCCUGUCUAGUUUGGAUUUAUUUAUUUACAUAUUUUUGAUGGAUGGUCCCUUUUCCUUUGCAUGUGAGAACACCCCAUCCUCUUCAUCUGGAAAAAACAAUAAUUCAAAUAGUUCUUUAAACCAUGGUCUCCAAGGCACCUUCUGUUUCUUGUUUUUUGAUAAUUUAUGAUUUCUUUAUCUGCCACACUUUGAGUUCUUUGUGGGCAAGAAUAUGUCUAUUUUAUUUCUAUUUGUCUAGCACCCCAGAUGGCGCUUGACCCAUAACAUAUACAUCAGUAGGAUGCAUGGUUUUAAGUGACUGAAAACCAAUUCAAACUGGAUUCAUUUUUUUAAAGGAAUAUGUUGGUUGAUUUACCUGAAAAUCCCAGGGGUGACCCCAAACAACUUCAGACUUCUACCGUCAAAGCAUCUAGCCCCUAAGAAAGAGAGGCUGUCUUUGCAGCUCCCAUACAGGUUCUUCGAUCAACUCUCAUAAGCCUGAAUUGGUUCAUUCGCUUAUCCCUGUGUCAAUGACUGUGCUUCUAGAUGAUGAAAUGCUAUGAUUGCCUUAAGCCCAAGUCACAUAUUCUAUUCUUGGGGCUUUAUUUAAACUGCCUGUACUAAGAGUGGAAAUGCAGUGAUUCUUUCAAAGCAAAGUUGGAGGACUCAAAAGGAAAAAGUAGAUGUAAAAACAAUAAGUUUCUAUAAAAGUAGAUGCUCGAUAAAUUCUAGUUGAAUAAAAAAGAGUAAACAUAGAAAAGUAAAACUUAAAAAUCACACAAAUAGGAAUUGAUCAAAGGUAAUGAGGUUUGGGCAAGACUUAUUUAUAAGAUUAAGAGACUCAUUAAAAUGAAAGAUCUCUUUCUGAUGGUUAAAAGGAGAAUAGCAGAGGAAAAAAGGCAAGAGUUAUGGUUAUUUCAGCAUAAAAUUUGGGGCUGAGGGCUGAGUGCUUCAGAGAGCUAGAGCUAAUGGGACAAUGAAAACAAAUGGCCUGGGAUGACAUUGGUAGAAUCCUGAGUGAGGAUAGCAGGAAGCCCGGGCAAUAGGAUCAAUUUUAAUGUCAGGAAGAAAGUUAAAUAUGUGGAGAGAGGGAGGUAGCAUAUAGGGGCUACCAAUGCCAGUUUGAGGGUGACACAUACAAUUUUAUUUCCUUGAAGAGAAGAAUUUUAUGAAUUUCAUGCCCUUUAAUUCUAUAGCUUCUACUUUGAGGAUAUGAAAAUAUUCCUCACAUCAAAAGGCAGAAGGUUAAAGUAAUGUUACGGGUGGGUCUUUGUUCUUAGAGCUCCCAAGAUGGUGGCAGGCUGCUCCCAAGAGGGCAGCAAGCCUUUUGUUCUCUGACCUGAGGUUCUUUCCCUCACGGAUUCCAAGGAAUGAAACCUUGGGCCAUGCAGUGAGUGCUAUAGCUCUAUUAGAAGACGUGGGUCACGGAAGAGAACUGUGGAACCCAGCGACUAGUGUUCAGCUUGAUUAGAAUGGCCCCGGGCACUUAGCCACACAGGAACAAUGGCGAGCCUCUAGCCCGAAUGGGAGCGGCAGUGGGCUGCCUCACUGGAUCAGAAACGCAAUGGACACCCUGCUGGAUCUGGAGGGGUGGAAGUCAACAGCCUGUCUGUGACAGUGGCGAACAGCAGUGGUGGAAGGUGAGUGAAAGCUCAGCUCGAGCUGGAACAAACAUGAACCAGAAGAGUGUGCGAUUGCAAGAUUUACUAGAGUAAAAACAGAGCUCCCAUACAAUGGGAGGGGACCCAAAGGGGGUUUCCCACUCCCAGCUCCAAUGCCUGGGGUUUAUAUCGCAAUCAUUGUCCCUCCCCCUGUUCUCUCAGAUGAUAGGUGAUUUGACUGUUUCUUUACCUCCUGCUUUUAGCCUAAUUGGUAUUUUAGUGAGCCCUCUUUACUACCUGAUUGGUCAGGUGUGAGCUGAGUUACAAGCUCUGUGUUUAAAGGUGGGUGUGGUCACCUUCCCCAGCUAGUCUUAGGAAUUCUUCGUUGGCCUAGGAAAUCCAGCUAGUACUGUCUGUCAGUAUGGGAAAUAUUUUCUUCCUGAGGGGAUAGUACAUGCAGUGAUUGCAAAAAGAGGUACGUGUGAGACAUAGAUCGUUGUCUCUCUAGUUAUUGUUAUCACCAUCAUCAUCACUGCUAUUUGGUAAUAAACUUAAGGCAGAUCAGAGAGAAUGAUCUCUGUGUCUUUAUGCAUAGACAGGGGACAUGCUUCUAUAAAUUAGUUUCAUAAGCUCAGACUUUGAACUUGAGACCAAGCUGAGUCUUGCAUUCAGGGAGACAUUUAUGACUCCUCCUCAGUGAUAAAAAGUUAUGAAAAGCAUAGCAACCUAAGGAAAAAUGUUUCUCUUUCUCUUAAAGCUAUGGAACUUCAGUUAGGUGGGACUGUUUCCAUAGAAAAUAAGAUGCUGAUAAAAAACUGAUGUCUGUUAAGCCUGGGUGACUCCACAGGUGAUCUUGUCCACUUCUCAUGCCAUUGGUUCCUUACUUUCCAGUUGUUUGUGCUUCUUACCCAGUGAGAUUUCCUAGGGUUUCAUUCUGGAAGUCAUUUCUCCUUCUCUCUUCCUCUUUCCCAGAGGCCUUAUCCAUUCUUUUUUCUUCAAUUGUUAUCUCUAUACAGAUAGUUAUAGAUAGUAAUCUCCAGUCACAGCUUUAAAUGCCAGUAGGAUGUCCUCUAGACACCUUAAACUCAUUGUAUUCAAGGGCAAGCUGCUUGUUGUCACUCCAUGAAAGUUUCUUAUCCUGACUUUUCUAUUUUAUUUAAUUACAUUAUAAUCACCUAGACUUGAAACAAAGUUAUCAGCAACCUUUAAAAAAUUCUCCCUGUUAUUUAAGUUACUUAAUUUUCAUCAUGGACAGAGGAGAGAAUGUAUUCUCUUUUCCAUUCCUACUGCUGCUCACUUAAGUCUCUGAUUACUUCUGGUCUGCUUUCUGUAGUAGCAUGUAUUCACAUCUUGUCUAUCCCACCACCAAUCUAUCCUGUGCAUCCAGGCCAGAUUCAUCUUCCUAAGGUGCACCUCUAAUGUAACCUUGCCUCCAGGUUAAAAACAAAAACAAAACCAAAAUUUUAUUGGCUCGCUUUUUCUUACAUACUUUAAAAUCAACUCUGGUAUUCAGUGCUUUCUAUAACAGACUACCGGUUUAUCAUUCUAGUUUGAUCUUUUAUUACUCACCCAUUUAUGUCCCCUACUCCAGCCUAUUAUUCAUUAUUCUAUGCACAUUUUCCUUUAACUGUGACUUUGCUGUACACAAAAUAAUAAUAGCUAAUUCUUUUAUAGGACUUUCUAUGUUCCCAUCUAUAAUCUAAGCCUUUUGUGUCUAUUAAUUUAUUUAAUUAUUACAACUUUCCCAAGAUUGUUGUAAUAAGAGAUAUACACUAUUAUAAGCUCUAUUUUACAAUAAGGAAGUCCAGUUGAGAGAGUUUAAAUGACUUUCCAUGAAUCACGCAGCUGAUUGAAAGUAGAGCCAGCAUUGGAAUCUUGGCAGUCCAUGCUCUUAGUCACUACGUUCUUUUACUUCUCCUCCUGUCAAAUUCCUAACCAUGCCUCAGUGCCCAUCAAAAUCCUUACCCUCCAUCAGGGCCCAUAUAAGUGCUGCCUCUUCAAUGAUGCCUAUUUUGGUCUUCACAAAUAGUGGUGAUUUUCCCCUGCUUUGAACAGCAUAGCAAUUUGUUUUUCUACAUUUCUCCCACUAUAUAUACCAUGCAUGGUAAUUUAGUUUCUCUCUAUUUUUAUUCCUUAACUAAGUAAAUAAGGCCCUGUUCUUGCUCUCAAGGAGGUCACAGUCCUGUGUCUUGAAGCACUUAGCAAAGAGAUGUCCAACACUUAAUUGUUUAUUGAAAUUAAUUAAUGUUAUUGGAAUCAAUAAAGGACUAAUUCUCAAACUCCCAAAUCAAGUCAUAUAAACUGAAGUGUUUACUGCAGUUUAAAAACAAAUCAGAAUUAUUUGUGGUAGGGUAUAGUCUGUUUAGGAAUUGUGACCCCUUAACAGUACUUUAUUUGGAACUUUAGCACUUUUUGAUUUUCUUUACCAGAGUUCUUUAGCAGUUCAAAAUUAUGAGUACAGUAACAAUGGAAAUUUACUAUGGUUUUUGUUAGACCUUCUAAACUGCACACCUUCACAUGCAAUUCAAAUAAAGCAUCCUGGAAACCCUUCCAGCUCUCAGAUAGAUUAAACAUUUCACUUGUUUUUCACCUCAAGGUAUUCCAGUAUUUGCUUUAUAAUGCUUAUCCACACUCAUGUUUCUAUGUUCUAUUCCCUUGAAACACACUUUAUUUAGAGGGACCCAGUGCAACACUUGUUUGCAUUUGUUUGAAUAUAACAUAGAAUAAAUACAAAAGUUUAUAAAUUCAUUUUUCCACUUCAGGUGUCAUCUUAAUGUAAUGAACUCUUACAAAUUCAUUACAAGUUUGAUACUAGGCCCCAUGUCUUUAAGUUCCCAGUCUGGGGCAAAGGUAGAAAACAGCAGAGAAAAUCAGAAUUUUCCAGAAUAGGAGGCCUAAUCUCCCGAAAAGUAAGCUUCCAUUUUAUAGAAUUUAACCCAAUCAGAUUUUUAUCCUAUUUCUCCAUGUCUUACUUGCAUAUCUCUUACUACAAAAAUUAAUAUUCUGCUGUGGAUUUUCUUCCUGGAAUUGUUUUCCCAGGUAACCAGAAUGUGUGUAUGUCUGUUUGUCACACUGUCUACAACAGAAGUGGCAAAUAUUUGGGAUAUUGCCAGAAUCAGCGAGAUCAUUUCCUCAGCCCCACUCUCCACAAAGUGCCUUAGAUCCAUGACGGUCUUUAAUGGAGGAUACAGUCAUGCUAAUAAGAUUGCCACUAACACAGUCAAAUUUAAGAUUUCUGCAUAUAAAUAAGGUGAGAAGCAAUCAGGCAGCAUCUACUUGAAAUCAAUUGCUAGAAUCUCUGGGUACCUAGUGGAACUGUACCCUUUUAUCAAUGGAUUUUAAUUUAUUCUUUUAAAAAUUCCUUUUGCAAAGUAAAAUAUAUAUGUAAUAAACUCUGGCUAUAGUAAACCAGACAACAUUCAUUAUAGAGGGUGAGUCCUCUUUCUAGCAGUCAUAUUAUGGGCCCAUAGCUUUAAAAUGGGAUAUUAUCUCAUAGUCUCUCAGCCACAGAAUUUUUGGCAAAAAUUGCAUCAAUCUCUCAUAUUGGGGCAGGGAUAGGAGAGGAAGAGACUUCAAAAGAUUGUGACCCCUAUAAAAUUGAGGGGUUUUUAAUGGCCAGAAAUACUGAUUUGUUGAAUAACCUAUCUGGGGAAGUCAUCUUUUAUAGUGGCAUCUGUUGGUUGCAGUACUACAUCCAGGUAAUCUGAUAUUAAUCCUCUUGGCCAGCUAGGUCCAUAGAAUCAAAUUAGGCCAUCAACAGGUAACAGAUGUCAUACCCAGUUCAAAAUGUUACUUGGUUGCUUGUCAAUAUGACAUUGGAAGGUUUGAAUACUCCAAUACCCUGCAAUGGAGUUUUAUCUUGUUCUAUUUUGUAAAUUUAAAUGUAUCAGUUUUGUUAUUGAUUUAACAUUAUAUAGGAAUAUGUUUACAUAUCUAUAUGAGUAAUUAUAUUAACUCUCAUCUUUCCCAAAGUGGUGUUCUUUGAGUCAGUGAGAAACUAUACGAAGAUUGUGAGUCUUAAAAAAGUUAUGUGAAUCCAAAAUACCACCUAAACUUUUAAAUCAUAAAUACCAAUGCUUCCUGGGAACAAUAAUUCCAUUUCAUUCAAGUCAAAUUUAACACCUACUUAUUGAGUUCUGACUAAGUGCCAGAUAGCAUGUUAGGUAGGUACUGUGAUAUUGAGAAAGUAAGACAUAGUCUCUGCCAUCCACAAUUUUGCAGCAGGGGAGGAGGCACAUGUUUAUAAGGUGUAGAGGUAAUGCACAGGGAAUUUGUUAGUAAUGUGUAUAAUUACAUUUCAUUAGUCUCUGAACUCUUCAUCUUCCAUCUUUGACAGUGAGAGGGAUUUUAAUAAUAAUUGUAGUAAAUGUAAGUUUCAAUACAUGGCAGGUUUUCAAUCAGUGUUUGGCAAAUAAAAUAAAUAAAUGUCACUUAACUGUUCAAUGUGCAUAUUUAGUCUCAGUCAUUAUAUUUAGAAAACUAAAGACCAUCACAUCCUUGUGAACCCUGGCACUUUUUAUAGAAAAAACCUCACUAGCUAUUAUUUAUUGUGUUCAUCCAAUGCCAGGCACCAUGUUCUUAGCUUUACAUAUAUAGUCUUAUUUAAUCUUCAUAAUGACCUUGAAAGGUAUGUGUUAUUUUACAGAUGAUGAGGUGCAGCGAAGUCCAGUAACUUAUCUGAGGUCCCAUAUUUAAUAAAUGGAAGAUUUACAGCUUAAAUCCAGGAUUGUCUAAAUUUAAAGCCCAUUUUCUCAACUGCUACACAGAAUCAUAGCUAAGACUUUAAAAAAAAGACCAAUAACUUUGAAGAAACACUUUAUUAAAUUUUUAGAAUUUUUCUUCUAUUAUAAAAAAAUUCCUAAGAAUAAUGUUGAAAGUAUUUUAGUCAGUGGUAUAAAAUAGUAUUGGUGUUGACAGAGACUCUCAACCCAUCUGGUUAGACAGGAUAGGCUAUGGUCUCAUUCCCACAGUGCUGGACAGGAGUGUAAAUUUAACCAGAGAGCAGAGGAGUGGUGGUGGGGGUGGUGAGCCCAGGCACAUUUGCUGAGGAGCAGGGCUCACGUGGGCGUUCAGCUUUAUGUGGAGACAGGAGAUCUCUGUAAGCACAACCAAGACAAUUGCUUUUUUCUUUUGGACCUCCUCCCAGCCUUGCCAUACCUCUUCUUCUGGCCCUACUUCAAAAUGUGGUUCUCUCUGCAUUUCUGUAGGGCUGUGGAGGUGCUGCUAGGGCCUAGAAUUUCAUGGGGGUGGAGUGUGGAGGGAUGCUAGUUGCAGUGAUGACUAUUUCUUUCCUAACACACUUGCAUGUUUAGCAUCAUUAGUAGAAACCCAAUAAGACACCGUAGGACUGGUGUGAAACAUACGCUUAUACCAAAACACUUGUCUCUGGUAUGGAAACUUAAGGCAACGAAUCACUAAAUUAGCAGUCUUUACCUUCUUUCAUAAUAGGUUGCCCUCAGCCUCGGUUAGUAUGGUGCAGUGAAAAAAUGCUUUACAGGAGGAGGCUUUGGUUUCCAGAACUUUACUGCUGACUUGUCAAUAACCUUCGAUUGGUUACUGUACCUCUAUGGGGCUCAGUUUCUUCAUCUAUGACAUAUGGGACUUGGAUUAAAGAAUUUCUAAAAUCCCUCAUGGCCAUUAAAAAAAUAAAUAGCUUGUGGAAACAAACUUGGCUUAAAGCAUUUCAAUUGACUUUGCCACUUUAUUAAUUGUGUAAAUCUGGGCACCACUACACACACACACACACACACACACACAUAAUAUUGGAAAGUGAAUCCUAUGCUUAUAGGGUUGUUGUGAUAAUCAAAUUAAAAUAAUGUUUAUGAAAGUAUUUCAUAAACUGUGAAGCGCUUUGCAAAAUUGAGAUGCUAUAAAAUUUUACAUUUAUUCUCCUAACCAGACACUCAAAUUAUUUCUGUAACUGAAUGUCAUCUUAGAUAGUAUUUGAAAAGCUAAGAUUCAAUCUUUCUCACUUUAUCAUGUGCUCAUUUUAAAACAAACAGAAUAUAUAAUAAGGUGUCAAGCAACCCCCUCGACAAACAGUGAAAUACCACUCCUAUGCACCAAAAAGUACAAUAAAUCCAUGCAAAAUCUGAUGGGAAAAUAUUUAAAGAACUGUUAGUUUAAUGCUGCUAUUCUAUUCAGCUGUUUAUGUGUAUAAAAUGAUCUUAAAGUCUACCUUUUUGUGGAAAUCAUAAAAGAGUGUUCAUUUAAAAAAAAUUAGGUAGUUUGUUAGAGAAAGGAGAAGUAAAAAAUUACAACAGUUUAUACAGGGUGACUGUUACGGUUUGUAUAUAUUUUGCGUAUCCCCACCAGAUCUCAUGUUGGAAUUUCAUCCCCAGUGUGUCAAUGUUGGGAGGUGGGGCCUAGUGGGAGGUAUUUGGGUCAUGGGAUGGAUCUCUCAUGAAUGGUUUGGUGCUUCUCGAGGUAAAGAGUGAGUUCUCAUUCUUGUGAAACUGGAUUGAUUCUUGGGAAAUGGAUUAUUCUCUGGAGAGGGGGUUGUUAUAAAGCCAGGAAGCCCAUCAGGUUGCGUCUCUCUUCACACAUACCUGACUCCCUUUUGACCUUUUCUGUCAAGUUUUGACUCAGCUCGAAAGCCAUCACCAGGAGCUGAACAGAUGCUGGAGGCACCAUGCUUCUUGUACAGCCUACAGAACCAUAAGCUAAAUACACUUCUUUUCUUUUAAAUAACCCAGCCUCAGGCAUUCCUUUAUAGCAACACAAAACAGACUAAGACAGUGACAUAAUCAGUAAGAUUUUCAACUGAGCUCACAUGAAACUGAGGCAUGUGAAGAGAUGACCAUUUCUUAUCUCCUUCAUUGUGUUGUGCAUAAUCUAGAGAUUUUAUAUUGGUUCAGCAGUAGCCUUAUUUACACAUUUUUAUUAUAAAUAUGUAUGUCAUUUUAUUCAUGCAUUAAAAUUAAUUAUCCUAGUGGCCCACAGAUUAAUUUGGUGCAUGUAUGUGUGCUCACAUGAAAUUAUCUGAAUAGCAGAUCUCAGAUUCCUGACCGUCUGCCAUAUAAUCUGCCGCCUUCUUUUCCAGGAGAUGCUAUCUUACUGUAACAAACACCCAGAGAGCAGUCACCCAGAACGUGGAGGUCAAUAUAGGUGGUCAGCAAUUACAGUGACUGGUUAUAUCCACUCUCUUGAGUUUUGAGGGAGGCCUGGCAAUACGUGGCAAGAACCAUAGUCUGGAAAUGGGACCUGAGCAGCUCUCUGGGCUCCAGUUUCCACAUAUAUACAAUGAGGGGGCCAUGGUUCCAAGAGAUCUGGGAACCUGAUUAGGAAGUGGGGAAAAAGAGAGAGUACAUCAUGGCAGUGGUGAGAGUGAGGGCGUGAAAGGGAUUGAGGUUGUUGUGCUAACUGGGUCUGAAUCCUGGCUCCACCCACUUAUUGCAGUGGGAGCUUUUAUUAACUUAAAAUGGAUAAAACAAUCACCCCUUCACAAAGUUGUUAUAAGUAGUAAAUCAAUUGUAUAAAGCCAUUGGUUCUCAAUACAUUGAAGCCAUUAUUACUGUAUAACUUUGAGCAAGUUACUGAUCCUUGCCGUGUGUCAGUUACUUUAUUUAUGAAAUAAGAGCAACAUUGGUGCUUAUCUCAAGGGCUGUUUUGCAGAUCAAUGAGUCAAUACAUGUAAAAAGUGUAGAACAAUGCCUAAUAUAAAGUAAAUGCAAAACAUGUUAGAGGAAGAAUGGAAAAGCUCCAAUUGGCAAUGUCAGGUAGGGUGGCAUUUAGAUGAAAUUAAUUAAAGGAUAAUUAGGAUUUUGACAGAUCAAAAAAAGAAGAAGGACAUUCAACCCAUAGGGAAGAGCACCAGAAAAAGAAUCUGAUGACAAUGAAUAGAGUGUUUGGCGUUGCUUGGAUUUUCAUGCGGUGGAAACAUAAUAUUUAUGGGCACAUGUAGUAAGAUGAAGUUAGAGUUUGAGGCUAGCGUGGUAAAAAUUUUGAGUGUCAUUCUCUUAUGUUAGUACAUUAUGAACUGUUUCUUGGUUAAGUAGUUUGAUUUUCAGCUUCAUAAGGUAUUUGGCAAUAUUAUAUUUUCAAUGAAAUACCUUCUAUUCUCUCCCCCUAAAGAUAGCUCUUUCGUCCUCUGUGCACUCUUGGGGUGUUGUACAUAAAAUAUUUUAACUAUGUAAAAUGUGAUAGAAUAUUUUAAUUAUUUGUUUUACAUGCAUCUGUUUCCUCCAUGAGACUGUAGGCACCUUGGGGGCAAGAAGUACCACCAAGUCAUAACUGUAUAAAUAGCACGUAACAGGUACCCAGUCCAAUGCUUACUGCUGGGUAAAUACCAGGUUCUCUGAAGCUACAGGAGGCAGGUCGCUCUCAGUGUGACCUCUGCCCUCUGUGCUGACUGCGACCUAGGACUACUUUUCAGGAUUUUUAUGGGAGACUUUGUAAGCGAAGUCUUUCUUCAAUGUUUGAUCAUUAGGCAAUAAAUAAAUAUAUUUUAAAUUGGUCAGGAAGUACUUGAUCUAUGCUAGCUAGUUUUAUUACUUCGAUAUUCCUCUAAGUGUCAUUUUCUUAAUUAAAAAAUUUCUGCCCUAUUUCUUUAUUAAAAUGAAUUUUAGCUUCUUAAAAACAAAAAUAUACAGAAGACAUUGAAAAUAUACUCCACAAUCUCUCUACCUUGAUAGCCUCUGCUGAUAUUUAAGAAUAAGAAGCGUAUAUGUACACAUUUAGACAUUUCAAAGUGAACAGAAAGGCAAAAAAUAAAAAGUAACUCCUCACUCUCUCUCCUCUAACCAACUCAGUUGUCCAGUGGUUAAUUUUUUGUUAUUCCUUGAUUUACUUUAAGUGGUAAUGCACAACGUAUGUAACUUGUGUUUCAAUAAUAUGGGUUCUGUUAUGUUAAUAAAGAAUUUUUUCAGACAAAUAAACUGUGUUCAAUAUUAAAGUGUGCAUUUUAAUUUUUAUGACUGUUGUUAGGAUGACAAGCAAAUGUGUCGAUGGACAUACAUCAUCUCAACUAUUGCCUUCAUGUCAUUACUUGGAUUGCAAAAGUAGCCUCAGCCAGAAAUAACUAUCUUCAGUGCUUGCCUUGUAAAUCUAGCCUAUUCAGUGGGCACAAAGUCACAGUGGGUCUCCUUCUAACACUUAGUAUUCUGCUUUAAAUGAUUUUAAAAAUGAAAUGGAGAAUUUGGGUUACAUAUAAUUUUUAUACAUAAACAAGUUGAAAGCAUUGGGACCUUAUCUUGAGACAAAUCAGAAUAGCUACUUAAGUUUGAGCAGGCAGAUUUCUCUAGGAGUUACUCUGGCAAUGAUUACUGCCUAAUGGGGGCAGCAGAGAGCUAAAGCCCAGGAAGCUUGAGAAAUGCUUCUUCAAGGAAAGGUGCCUAACUAGUCAAGAGGUAGGGCCCAGUGAGAGAGGAACCAGAGUCUGGGGAUAGAUGUUACCGAAAAAGUCCAAACCAAGCUGGGCUGGAUCCUAGAAAUCAAGAAAAAGGAAGGAAGUUGGACAUAAGUAGAAGUGAAAACUCUUGUCAAAUCUGGAGGCCAGAUGAGCCCUUUUGUGGCAGUGGCUAAAGACUUCCUGGUUGACGCCGCUCAACCUUAAAGGGCUUCGGGCUCUGACACAGACUUUUCAGCUAAAGCCAUGUUCCUGAGUUUUAAGAGCCCGGCACUGUGUUGGGCCCAAAGAGAAAUAAGAUUUAGCUUCCAUUAUUGAGGGGCUUAUAGGUUUUCAUUAUUGUUGAAUACAAAAAGAAAAUAGGCUGGGUGUGGUGGCUCACGCCUGUAAUCCCAGCACUUUGGGAGGCCGAGGCGGGCGGAUCACCAGGUCAGGAGAUCAAGACCAUCC
rnacentral:lncRNA from 1 species